rnacentral:rRNA from 1 species
GACGAACGCUGGCGGCGUGCUUAACACAUGCAAGUCGAACGCUGAAGACCUGGCUUUUGUUGGGUUGGAUGAGUGGCGAACGGGUGAGUAACACGUGAGUAACCUGCCCUCUUCUUUGGGAUAACGCCCGGAAACGGGUGCUAAUACUGGAUAUUCACUGAUCUUCGCAUGGGGGUUGGUGGAAAGGUUUGUUCUGGUGGGGGAUGGGCUCGCGGCCUAUCAGCUUGUUGGUGGGGUGAUGGCCUACCAAGGCUUUGACGGGUAGCCGGCCUGAGAGGGUGACCGGUCACAUUGGGACUGAGAUACGGCCCAGACUCCCACGGGAGGCAGCAGUGGGGAAUAUUGCACAAUGGGCGAAAGCCUGAUGCAGCGACGCCGCGUGAGGGAUGGAGGCCUUCGGGUUGGAAACCUCUUUCGCUCAUGGUCAAGCCGCAACUGUGGGUUGUGGUGAGGGUAGUGGGUAAAGAAGCGCCGGCUAACUACGUG